AACGCGGACUUCUCCUGUCCAACCAAGGCGGGGGAAAUCUCACAGACAGCAGCAGGACACAGCCUGCACACCAAGCUCGGGAGGAGCUGGGCAGACUCCGUUUAUACAGGAGUGAAGAAGAAAUCAAAAUAUUCUCAGAUGAAGAAAAGCAGAGAAUUUGUCAUCAGGAGACCUGCCCUAAAAGAAUGGCCCUAAUGGAAGUUCCUAAAAAAAGAGAAGACACUGAAAACAAAAAACAAAAAAAAAAACUUGAAGUAUUAUAAAAGUAUCAUAAAGAAAGAGGAGCAUAGUAA
rnacentral:lncRNA from 10 species